rnacentral:misc_RNA from 1 species
AAGUCGUAACAAGGUUUCCGUAGGUGAACCUGCGGAAGGAUCAUUACAACGUAUCCACGUAUAAACCUUUGUGAACCGUUUUUAACCGCAUGGUAUGUUAUCGAAAAGUGUGAAAAAUAUUGGAAUGUAUAUUCACACCCGCUUUGUCUUCACGACAAAGGGAUUCCAUGCUGUGUUUUCCAUUUCAUUAUUAACCUUAUGCAAAACUUCUUAUCAAACGAGCUUUAACGAAAGUUUUAGCUUGACUUUAAAUAAGAAAUUAUAGCACAACUCUUAGCAACGGAUAUCUAGGCUCUC